GGGUCCGACCAUCGGACCCGAAGGUCCGACCAUCGGACCAUUUCUUCCUCUCUCUCCAAAAUCGCAAAAAAAAAAAAAAAAAAAAAAAAAAAAAAAUUCAAAGGUCCGACCAUCGGACCUUUGUCUUCUUCCCUCUCUCAAAUCGCAGGAAAAAAAAAAAAAAAAGUUUCAGAGAAAA